GUGGGGAAUAUUGGACAAUGGGCGAAAGCCUGAUCCAGCCAUGCCGCGUGUGUGAAGAAGGUCUUCGGAUUGUAAAGCACUUUAAGUUGGGAGGAAGGGCAGUAAGUUAAUACCUUGCUGUUUUGACGUUACCGACAGAAUAAGCACCGGCUAACUUCGUGCCAGCAGCCGCGGUAAUACGAAGGGUGCAAGCGUUAAUCGGAAUUACUGGGCGUAAAGCGCGCGUAGGUGGUUUUGUAAGUUGGAGGUGAAAUCCCCGGGCUCAACCUGGGAACUGCAUCCAAAACUGCAUGACUAGAGUACGGUAGAGGGUAGUGGAAUUUCCUGUGUAGCGGUGAAAUGCGUAGAUAUAGGAAGGAACACCAGUGGCGAAGGCGGCUUUCUGGUCUGUAACUGACGCUGAGGCGCGAAAGCGUGGGGAGCAAACAGGAUUAGAUACCCCGGUAGUCC
rnacentral:rRNA from 1 species